rnacentral:rRNA from 1 species
AACGAACGCUGGCGGCAGGCCUAACACAUGCAAGUCGAGCGAGACCUUCGGGUCUAUCUGCGGACGUGUGAGUAACGCGUGGGGACGUACCCUUUUCUGCGGAAUCGCCUCGGUAAACUGAGCUUAAUACCGCUUACGCCCUUUGCGGGUAAGAUUUCUCGGAAAAGGGUCGGCCCGCGUUGGAUUAGGUAGUUGGUGGGGUAAUGGCCUACCAAGCCUACGAUCCAUAGCUGGUUUGAGAGGAUGAUAAUCCACACUGGGAAUGAGACACGGCCCAGACUCGUACGGGAGGCAGCAGUGGGGAAUCUUAGACAAGGGGGGCAACCGUGAUCUAGCCAUGCGGGGGGAGUGAUGAAGGCCUUAGGGUUGUAAAGCUCUUUGAGCUGGGAAGAUAAUGACGGUAACAGCAGAAGAAGCACCGGCUAACUCCGUG